UACGUAGGGUGCAAGCGUUGUCCGGAAUUAUUGGGCGUAAAGAGCUCGUAGGCGGUUCGUCGCGUCGGCUGUGAAAACCCGGAGCUCAACUCCGGGCCUGCAGUCGAUACGGGCGGACUAGAGUGCGGUAGGGGAGAUCGGAAUUCCUGGUGUAGCGGUGAAAUGCGCAGAUAUCAGGAGGAACACCGGUGGCGAAGGCGGAUCUCUGGGCCGUAACUGACGCUGAGGAGCGAAAGCAUGGGGAGCGAACAGG
rnacentral:rRNA from 1 species